AGCCUGACAAGUCACGCAUCAUGCAGCCUGCGCAUAGCAUGCCAGACAGUAAUGACAUUCAAACAGCUGUCUGAAUACCAGAGCAGAUGCUAAGAUUGAUUUCAUACUUGCACAUGCACAUUAUCUAUGCACUUCGUUCUUUUAACAUACCCAGUCCACAGUGUAUAAUUUAUUAUUUCAACAUUUAAAAACCGUUUAAACAUAGACCCUCCUAACGAGAAGCACAGCAGUUUCCCAACUCGAUACACAAUCAACUCCUAAGAGUCUACAUAGAUGCGCAGUGGAAAUAAAAGAUAUCAGGUGCACCAUGUACUCGUAACCAGCAACACCCCUUUUAGAAAGUAUAAAAAUCGUAACAAGGUUUCCGUAGGGGGGCCUGCGGAAGGAUCAUUAUUGAAUAAACUUGAACGGGCUGUUGCUGGUAGGAGUACAUGUGCACGCUUGUCAUCUUUUAUUUCUCCAACCUGUGCAUCUAUUGUAGACCCUCUUAGGAGUUGAUUGUGUAUCGAGUUGGGAACUGCUGUGCUUUCCCUUGUAGGAGGGUCUAUGUUUCACAAACCCAAAUGUGUUUUAGAAUGUUGAAUAAUAAAUUAUACAACUUUCAGCAACGGAUCUCUUGGCUCUCGCAUCGAUGAAGAACGCAGCGAAAUGCGAUAAGUAAUGUGAAUUGCAGAAUUCAGUGAAUCAUCGAAUCUUUGAACGCAUCUUGCGCUCCUUGGUAUUCCGAGGAGCAUGCCUGUUUGAGUGUCAUUUUAACUUGUCAACUGUGCAUGCGUAUGCAGCAUGGCUUGGAUAGUGGGUGGUUUGCAGGCUUUUUUAAAGGUCGGCUCCCCUGAAAUGGAUUAGCAGUAUCUGAGCAGGGUACAGGUGUGAUAAUUGUCUACACCUCUCUGCAAUUGUGAACUGCUUUUAUCAAUCUUUGUAAAAUUUGACCUCAAAUCAGGUAGACACCCGAUG
rnacentral:rRNA from 1 species